UACGAAGGGGGCUAGCGUUGCUCGGAAUCACUGGGCGUAAAGCGCACGUAGGCGGCUUUCUAAGUCAGGGGUGAAAUCCUGGAGCUCAACUCCAGAACUGCCUUUGAUACUGGAAAGCUCGAGUCCGGGAGAGGUGAGUGGAACUCCGAGUGUAGAGGCGAAAUUCGUAGAUAUUCGCAAGAACACCAGUGGCGAAGGCGGCUCACUGGCCCGAUACUGACGCUGAGGCACGAAAGCGUGGGGAGCAAACAGG
rnacentral:rRNA from 1 species